rnacentral:rRNA from 1 species
UACGGAGGAUGCAAGCGUUAUCCGGAUUCAUUGGGUUUAAAGGGUGCGUAGGCGGGAAAAUAAGUCAGUGGUGAAAGCCUACAGCUUAACUGUAGAAUUGCCAUUGAUACUGUUAUUCUUGAGUACAGUUGAAGUGGGUGGAAUGUGUGGUGUAGCGGUGAAAUGCUUAGAUAUCACACAGAAUGCCAAUUGCGAGGGCAGCUCACUAAGCUGUUACUGACGCUGAGGCACGAAAGCGUGGGGAUCAAACAGGAUUAGAUACCCUGUUAGUCCACGCCGUAAACGAUGAAUGUUAGCCGUCGGGCAGCUUGCUGUUCGGUGGCGCAGCUAACGCAUUAAACAUUCCGCCUGGGGAGUACGGUCGCAAGAUUAAA